GACGAACGCUGGCGGCGUGCCUAAUACAUGCAAGUUGAGCGAUGAAGAUUGGUGCUUGCCCCAAUUUGAAGAGCAGCGAACGGGUGAGUAACGCGUGGGGAAUCUGCCUUUGGGCGGGGGACAACAUUUGGAAACGAAUGCUAAUACCGCAUAAUAACUUUAAACAUAAGUUUUAAGUUUGAAAGAUGCAAUUGCAUCACUCAAAGAUGAUCCCGCGUUGUAUUAGCUAGUUGGUGAGGUAAAGGCUCACCAAGGCGAUGAUACAUAGCCGACCUGAGAGGGUGAUCGGCCACAUUGGGACUGAGACACGGCCCAAACUCCUACGGGAGGCAGCAGUAGGGAAUCUUCGGCAAUGGACGAAAGUCUGACCGAGCAACGCCGCGUGAGUGAAGAAGGUUUUCGGAUCGUAAAACUCUGUUGGUAGAGAAGAACGUUGGUGAGAGUGGAAAGCUCAUCAAGUGACGGUAACUACCCAGAAAGGGACGGCUAACUACGUG
rnacentral:rRNA from 1 species